rnacentral:rRNA from 1 species
GACAGAGGUCCCGAGCGUUAGGCGGAAUCACUGGGCUUAAAGCGUGUGUAGGCGGCGGCCUAAGUACCUUGUGAAAUCCCACGGCUCACCCGUGGAACUGCUCGGUAUACUGGGUCGCUUGAGCCACGUAGGGGCUACCGGAACAAAUGGUGGAGCGGUGAAAUGCGUAGAUAUCAUUUGGAACGCCAAUGGUGAAAACAGGUAGCUGGGAGUGUGCUGACGCUGAGACACGAAAGCCAGGGGAGCAAACGGG